ensembl:miRNA
CUGCUGUAAAGAUGCCAGCUGCAGUGGGGCAGGCGCAGCCAGGGCUGCAUGCUCCACUGAGUCGGCAGGAGCCAGAAACAGG